GCAGGAGCUGGCGCAGCGGAAGUGUGCUGGCCCAUAACCCAGAGGUCCAUGGAUCGAAACCAUCCUUCUGCUA